GCUCACUUGGCAGCACAUAUGCUAAAAUUGAAAUGAUAAAGAGAAGAUUAGCAUGGCCCCUGUGUAAGGAUGACACACAAACUGGAGAAGUGUUCCAUAUGUUU